rnacentral:rRNA from 1 species
CCUACGGGAGGCAGCAGUGAGGAAUAUUGGUCAAUGGCCGGAAGGCUGAACCAGCCAUGCCGCGUGAAGGUCAGUGCCCCAUGGGCGUUUAACUUCCUUUGUGCGGGAGCAAUAAUGGUCACGUGUGGCCAGACGAGAGUACCGUACGAAUAAGCAUCGGCUAACUCCGUCCCAGCAGCCGCCGUAAUACGGGGGAUGCAAGCGUUAUCCGGAUUUUUUGGGUUUAAAGGGUGCGAAGGCGGUCUUUUAAGUCAGCGGUAAAAGCCCGGGGCCCAACCCCGGCCCGCGGUUGAAACUGGCAGUCUCGAGUUGGAGGGAAGUAUGCGGAAUGCGCGGUGUAGCGGUGAAAUGCAUAGAUAUCGCGCAGAACUCCGAUUGCGAAGGCAGCAUGCCGGCUCCACACUGACGCUGAGGCACGAAAGCGUGGGUAUCGAACAGGAUUAGAUACCCGUGUAGUC